rnacentral:lncRNA from 1 species
GUCGAGUGCCCGAGGCCACGCCCCCGGCACUCAGUCAGUAGGUCCGGGAGGCGGGGCUGAGCCGGGUCACUGUGCGUUCUCGCGGAGCCAGGCACUGGUUUGGCGCUCGGCCUCUGGGUGGAGCUGGAAAGAGCGAGUCCUGAGGAGGAAUUGGAGUUAUAAUGAGUGA